rnacentral:rRNA from 1 species
GACUGCGAUGGGUAGCCGGCCUGAGAGGGUGGACGGCCACAUUGGGACUGAGAUACGGCCCAGACUCCUACGGGAGGCAGCAGUAGGGAAUUUUGCGCAAUGGACGAAAGUCUGACGCAGCAACGCCGCGUGAGGGAUGACGGCCUUCGGGUUGUAAACCUCUGUUGGAUGGGAAAAAACGGUAGCAAUACCUUGAUGCUACCAUUCGAGUAAGCACCGGCUAACUACGUGCCAGCAGCCGCGGUAAUACGUAGGGUGCAAGCGUUGUUCGGAAUCACUGGGCGUAAAGGAGCGUAGGCGGGAUCGUAAGUUAGGAGUUUAAUGCAUGGGCUUAACCCAUGACCUGCUCUUAAUACUGCGGUUCUUGAGUAUGGGAGAGGGCGAUGGAAUUCCAGGUGUAGCGGUGGAAUGCGUAGAUAUCUGGAAGAACACCAGUAGCGAAGGCGGUCGCCUGGCCCAAUACUGACGCUGAGGCUCGAAAGCUAGGGGAGCAAACAGGAUUAGAUACCCUGGUAGUCCUAGCCGUAAACGAUGAACACUAGUUGCCGGAGGAGUCAAUCUUUUCGGUGACGAAGCUAACGCAUUAAGUGUUCCGCCUGGGAAGUACGCCCGCAAGGGUGAAACUCAAAGGAAUUGACGGGGGCCCGCACAAGCGGUGGAGCAUGUGCUUUAAUUCGAUGCAACGCGAAGAACCUUACCUAGACUUGACAUGGGGGUGAAAUUCUGUAGAAAUAUGGAGCCUUCCGCAAGGAACACCCUACACAGGUGCUGCAUGGUUGUCGUCAGCUCGUGUCGUGAGAUGUUGGGUUAAGUCCCGCAACGAGCGCAACCCUCGUCCUUAGUUGCUAACAGGUUAUGCUGAGAACUCUAAGGAGACUGCCUGGUUUAACCAGGAGGAAGGUGGGGAUGACGUCAAAUCCUCAUGGCCCUUACGUCUAGGGCUAGACACGUGCUACAAUGGCCGGUACAACGGGCUGCAAGUCGGUGACGACAAGCUAAUCCCUUAAAACCGGUCUCAGUUCGGAUUGAAGUCUGCAAUUCGACUUCAUGAAGCUGGAAUCGCUAGUAAUCGCGGAUCAGCAUGCCGCGGUGAAUACGUUCCCGGGCCUUGUACACACCGCCCGUCAAGCCAAGAAAGAUGGCAGUACCCGAAGUCGCUUCUCUAACCGCAAGGAAGAGCGUGCCGAAGGUAAGGCUGUUGAUUG